CCUACGGGGUGCAGCAGUGGGGAAUAUUGCACAAUGGGGGAAACCCUGAUGCAGCAACGCCGCGUGAAGGAAGACGGUUUUCGGAUUGUAAACUUCUGUUCUUAGUGAAGAAUAAUGACGGUAGCUAAGGAGCAAGCCACGGCUAACUACGUGCCAGCAGCCGCGGUAAUACGUAGGUGGCAAGCGUUGUCCGGAUUUACUGGGUGUAAGGGGAGCGCAGGCGGGAAGCCAAGUCAGCUGUGAAAACUACGGGCUUAACGUGUAGACUGCAGUUGAAACUGGUUUUCUGGAGUGAAGUAGAGGUUGGCGGAAUUCCGAGUGUAGCGGUGAAAUGCGUAGAUAUUCGGAGGAACACCGGUGGCGAAGGCGACCAACUGGGCUUUAACUGACGCUGAGGCUCGAAAGUGUGGGGAGCAAACAGGAUUAGAUACCCUAGUAGUC
rnacentral:rRNA from 1 species